rnacentral:rRNA from 1 species
UGGUGGAGUGAUUUGUCUGGUUAAUUCCGAUAACGAACGAGACCUUAACCUGCUAAAUAGUCACGCUAACUUUUGUUGGCGGCAGACUUCUUAGAGGGACUAUUGACGUUUAGUCAAUGGAAGUUUGAGGCAAUAACA